GACGAAGGUGGCAAGCGUUGCUCGGAAUCACUGGGCAUAAAGCGCGCGUAGGUGGCUUGAUAAGUCGGUGGUGAAAUCCCAUGGCUCAACCAUGGAACUGCCGUCGAUACUGUCAGGCUUGAGGGCGGUAGGGGAGAGUGGAACUCCUGGUGUAGCGGUGAAAUGCGUAGAUAUCAGGAGGAACGCCGGUGGCGAAAGCGACUCUCUGGGCCGUUCCUGACACUAAAGUGCGAAAGCUAGGGGAGCAAACAGG
rnacentral:rRNA from 1 species